GAUGAACGCUAGCGAUAGGCUUAACACAUGCAAGUCGAGGGGCAGCGAGGGUAGCAAUACCUGUCGGCGACCGGCGCACGGGUGAGUAACGCGUAUGUAACCUGCCCGCAACAGGGGGAUAACCCGGCGAAAGUCGGACUAAUACCGCAUAAAACAGGGGUCCCGCAUGGGAAUAUUUGUUAAAGAUUUAUCGGUUGCGGAUGGGCAUGCGUACCAUUAGGUAGUUGGUGAGGUAACGGCUCACCAAGCCUUCGAUGGUUAGGGGUUCUGAGAGGAAGGUCCCCCACACUGGUACUGAGACACGGACCAGACUCCUACGGGAGGCAGCAGUGAGGAAUAUUGGUCAAUGGGCGAGAGCCUGAACCAGCCAAGUCGCGUGAAGGAUGACUGCCCUAUGGGUUGUAAACUUCUUUUACAAGGGAAUAAAAUGAGAUACGUGUAUUUUAUUGCAUGUACCUCGGGAAUAAGCAUCGGCUAACUCCGUG
rnacentral:rRNA from 1 species